rnacentral:rRNA from 1 species
AUACGUAGGGGGCGAGCGUUGUCCGGAAUGAUUGGGCGUAAAGGGUGCGUAGGCGGCCCGGUAAGUCUGGAGUGAAAGUCCUGCUUUUAAGGUGGGAAUUGCUUUGGAUACUGUCGGGCUUGAGUGCAGGAGAGGUAAGUGGAAUUCCCAGUGUAGCGGUGAAAUGCGUAGAGAUUGGGAGGAACACCAGUGGCGAAGGCGACUUACUGGACUGUAACUGACGCUGAGGCGCGAAAGUGUGGGGAGCAAACAGGAUUAGAUACCCUGGUAGUCCACACUGUAAACGAUGAAUGCUAGGUGUAGGGGGUAUCGACCCCUUCUGUGCCGCAGUUAACACAAUAAGCAUUCCGCCUGGGGAGUACGGCCGCAAGGUUGAAACUCAAAUGAAUUGACGGGG